AACGAACGCUGUCGGCAUGCCUAACACAUGCCAGUCGAACGAGACCUUCGGGUCUAGUGGCGCACGGGUGCGUAACGCGUGGGAACCUGCCCUUAGGUUCGGAAUAACUCCCCGAAAGGGGUGCUAAUACCGGAUAAUGUCUUCGGACCAAAGAUUUAUCGCCUUUGGAUGGGCCCGCGUUGGAUUAGCUAGUUGGUAGGGUAAAAGCCUACCAAGGCGACGAUCCAUAGCUGGUCUGAGAGGAUGAUCAGCCACACUGGGACUGAGACACGGCCCAGACUCCUACGGGAGGCAGCAGUGGGGAAUAUUGGACAAUGGGCGAAAGCCUGAUCCAGCAAUGCCGCGUGAGUGAUGAAGGCCUUAGGGUUGUAAAGCUCUUUUACCCGGGAUGAUAAUGACAGUACCGGGAGAAUAAGCUCCGGCUAACUCCGUG
rnacentral:rRNA from 1 species